CCAGCAAUGAUUACGGGAGGAGUGGAUGUCAAAGUCGUAACAAGGUAACCGCAUAUCAAUAACCAGGAGGAGGGGUGCCUUUUUUAACGAAGACAGCCGGCUGUGCGCUUGUCCCUGUCCCAGGCGCCCUUCGGGGACCUGGCAGGUCUGGCGGGCUGGGGAGGCCGCUCUCCUCUGACCGGGAGAGGGCCGAACCCCGGCUGGCAAAAACCCCAUUCAAUCCAAAACCAGAAACUUGCUGAAGAUCCCGACGGCUGUCCAACAGUCGUCUCCAACCAAAGACAACUCUCAACAACGGAUAUCUUGGCUCCCGUAUCGAUGAAGAACGCAGCGAAAUGCGAUACGUAGUGUGAAUUGCAGAUAAUGUGAAUCAUCGAAUCUUUGAACGCAAAUUGCACUCGAGGCUCCGGCCGAGAGUAUGUCUGCCUCAGCGUCGGCUUUACCCUCACCCCUCCGAUGAGGAGGCGUGGACCUGGCCGUCCCGGUUUUCAACCGGGUCUGCCGAAGAACAGAGGCUCGAACGAGGACCCCAUCGGGACAACAGUCUGGUAGGUGACCCGUCAGGGAUCGCAUGCCGCUGUCGGCCCGGGACCUCGUUGUAAGCCGGCAGGAAUCGCCGGUCGCUCCUUGGAAAAAGAAGCGGCCGCGCGACACACCCUUUUCGACCUGAGUUCAGGCAAGAACACCCGCUGAACUUAAGCAUAUCAUAAGCGGUGGAA
rnacentral:rRNA from 1 species